rnacentral:rRNA from 1 species
GUAGGGUCCAAGCGUUAAUCGGAAUUACUGGGCGUAAAGCGUGCGCAGGCGGUUGUGCAAGACCGAUGUGAAAUCCCCGGGCUUAACCUGGGAAUUGCAUUGGUGACUGCACGGCUAGAGUGUGUCAGAGGGGGGUAGAAUUCCACGUGUAGCAGUGAAAUGCGUAGAGAUGUGGAGGAAUACCGAUGGCGAAGGCAGCCCCCUGGGAUAACACUGACGCUCAUGCACGAAAGCGUGGGGGGAGCAAACAGGAUUAGAUACCCUGGUAGUCCACGCCCUAAACGAUGUCAACUAGUUGUUGGGGAUUCAUUUCCUUAGUAACGUAGCUAACGCGUGAAGUUGACCGCCUGGGAGUACGGUCGCAAGAUUA